rnacentral:rRNA from 1 species
GACGAACGCUGGCGGCGUGCUUAACACAUGCAAGUCGAACGGAAAGGCCCCUUUGGGGGUACUCGAGUGGCGAACGGGUGAGUAACACGUGAGUAACCUGCCCUCGACUUCGGGAUAACUUCAGGAAACUGGGGCUAAUACCGGAUAGGAAUCCUUGCUGCAUGGUGGGGGUUGGAAAGCUUCGGGGGUUUUGGAUGGACUCGCGGCUUAUCAGCUUGUUGGUGGGGUAGUGGCUUACCAAGGCUUUGACGGGUAGCCGGCCUGGGAGGGCGACCGGCCACAUUGGGACUGGGAUACGGCCCAGACUCCUACGGGAGGCAGCAGUGGGGAAUAUUGCACAAUGGGCGGAAGCCUGAUGCAGCAACGCCGCGGGCGGGAUGACGGCCUUCGGGUUGUAAACCGCUUUCAGCAGGGGCGAAGCUUGUGGUGACGGUACCUGCAGAAGAAGCACCGGCUAACUACGUG